rnacentral:lncRNA from 1 species
GCCAAGGUGUCACAUAAUGGAGAAAAAUGCAGAUGGUCCUGUGGCUGGUGUGAAUGAAGAAUGACCUGGGCCCAACAUAGAACUUUUCCAGUAUGGUCUCUGCAUGUGGGGAGCCAAACUCUAGAGAAGACAUCAGUGAACUGCUGAUUUGGAGUGACUGACACUUAUUCCUGAGAGCCGUACAGGAAGCCUGGUGCUGGCAGAUCUGCUUCUAGGGAGUUCUCAGGAAGCUUCUG